rnacentral:rRNA from 1 species
AUUGAACGCUGGCGGCAUGCCUUACACAUGCAAGUCGAACGGCAGCGCGGGAGCAAUCCUGGCGGCGAGUGGCGAACGGGUGAGUAAUACAUCGGAACGUGCCCAAUCGUGGGGGAUAACGCAGCGAAAGCUGUGCUAAUACCGCAUACGAUCUACGGAUGAAAGCAGGGGAUCGCAAGACCUUGCGCGAAUGGAGCGGCCGAUGGCAGAUUAGGUAGUUGGUGAGGUAAAGGCUCACCAAGCCUUCGAUCUGUAGCUGGUCUGAGAGGACGACCAGCCACACUGGGACUGAGACACGGCCCAGACUCCUACGGGAGGCAGCAGUGGGGAAUUUUGGACAAUGGGCGAAAGCCUGAUCCAGCCAUGCCGCGUGCAGGAUGAAGGCCUUCGGGUUGUAAACUGCUUUUGUACGGAACGAAACGGCCUUUUCUAAUAAAGAGGGCUAAUGACGGUACCGUAAGAAUAAGCACCGGCUAACUACGUGCCAGCMGCCGG